AUUUAUGUAGUUUAAAAAUAAAACAUUACAUUUUCAUUGUAAAAUUAGAAUAAAUUUUCUUAUAAAUA
rnacentral:tRNA from 1 species